rnacentral:ncRNA from 1 species
UUUCAGACAAGGAAAGGCUUACAGUGGAUAUCUAGGUAUCUAGAAAUAACGAAGGGAAUAGUAAUCGAUGAAAUAUCUUCAGGGAUUUGGAAAAAUUGCAUGGAAACAGAGAUUUCUGAAUAGGUCAACAUUUUUAACUACUACUGAAUCCAUUUGUAGGAAAGAGAAAACCUAGCGAACUAAAACAUCUUAGUAGCCAUAAUAGAAGAAAACUAAAGAUAUUCCUAUAGUAGCUGAGAGCAAAAUGAGAGCAACCUAAACUAUGAAAAUGAUGUUGCGGAGAGCAAUACAAUCGUCGUACUGCUAAGGGAAGUAUCCUAAAUAUUGUGCCCUAAAUAGAAAAAGUCUAGUAGUCGAAAACAUCAAUAGCUUACUCUCUGACCAAGUAGCAGGUGGCAUGUGGAAUCCUAUGUGAAUUAGCAAGGACAACUUUGGAAGGCUAAAUACUUUAGGAGACUGAUAUAGAAGUAGUACCAUGAGGGAAGGGUGAAAAGAACCCCCAUCGUGGAAUGAAACAGAGCAUGAAACUGUAAUUUCCAAAGUAGUGGGAGAAGACAGGGCUCUGACCGCGUCCCUGUUGUAAAAUGAGUCGGUGAUUCAUAAGCACUAGCUUGGUUAACUGAACCCACCCAAAUAGUAUCGAAAACGAGUCUUCUUCGAGAAAUUGUCAUUGCUUAUGAACCAGAACCUGGUUAAUCUAUCAGUGACCAGGAUGAAGCUUGUACAAAACUAAGUUGAGUUCUGAACCGACUGAUUUUGAAGAUCAAUAGAUGAUUUGUGGCUAGUAGUGAAAUGCCACUGAAACCUAAAGCUAGCGGGUAAUCCCUAAAAUAUGUUGAGGUGCAGCAGUUAACUAGACAUCUAGUGGUAAAACAUAUUUUCGCUGCAAGAUAUGAACUCAAAAUAAUAGUGGUCAAGUGAUAUGAUGGGGUAUAAGUUCCAUCGUCGAGUGGGAAACGACCCGGAUCACCAUCUAAGGCCUCUAAGUGACCGCUCAUUGAUAAAGGAACUAGCGGUUCUAAGACAUUUAGGAGGUUUUCUUAAAGGUAUCCACCUUUAAAAGAGUUCAUAAUAGAUCACUGACCAACCGCUCUUGCAUAGAAGAUGAACGGGGCUAAGCAGUCUGCUGAAGCUGUAGGAUGUAAAAAAAAUCAAUACAGGAGCACUCCAACAUAGAAAGAAGCCUCUGCACGGGCGGUGGUGAAAAAAAUUGAAGGAAGAUUGUCUUAUUGGGUAACAUAAACAUUGGUGAAAAUCCAAUGUAAUGGCAAAAAUCUCAAGAAUAGAGGAGUUUCCAUGUAUGCUUAGUUAGGAUUGUAUCC